rnacentral:rRNA from 1 species
AGUGAACGCUGGCGGUAGGCCUAACACAUGCAAGUCGAACGGCAGCACAGUAAGAGCUUGCUCUUACGGGUGGCGAGUGGCGGACGGGUGAGGAAUACAUCGGAAUCUACUUUUUCGCGGGGGAUAACGUAGGGAAACUUACGCUAAUACCGCAUACGACCUACGGGUGAAAGCAGGGGAUCUUCGGACCUUGCGCGAUUGAAUGAGCCGAUGUCGGAUUAGCUAGUUGGCGGGGUAAAGGCCCACCAAGGCGACGAUCCGUAGCUGGUCUGAGAGGAUGAUCAGCCACACUGGAACUGAGACACGGUCCAGACUCCUACGGGAGGCAGCAGUGGGGAAUAUUGGACAAUGGGCGCAAGCCUGAUCCAGCCAUACCGCGUGGGUGAAGAAGGCCUUCGGGUUGUAAAGCCCUUUUGUUCGGAAAGAAAAGCAGCAGGUUAAUACCCCGCUGUUCUGACGGUACCCAAAGAAUAAGCACCGGCUAACUUCGUG